rnacentral:rRNA from 1 species
UGAUCAUGGCUCAGAACGAACGCUGGCGGCAUGCCUAAUACAUGCAAGUCGAACGAUCUCUUCGGAGAUAGUGGCGCACGGGUGCGUAACGCGUGGGAAUCUGCCCUUGGGUUCGGAAUAACUUCUGGAAACGGAAGCUAAUACCGGAUGAUGACGUAAGUCCAAAGAUUUAUCGCCCAAGGAUGAGCCCGCGUAGGAUUAGCUAGUUGGUGAGGUAAAGGCUCACCAAGGCGACGAUCCUUAGCUGGUCUGAGAGGAUGAUCAGCCACACUGGGACUGAGACACGGCCCAGACUCCUACGGGAGGCAGCAGUAGGGAAUAUUGGACAAUGGGCGAAAGCCUGAUCCAGCAAUGCCGCGUGAGUGAUGAAGGCCUUAGGGUUGUAAAGCUCUUUUACCCGGGAUGAUAAUGACAGUACCGGGAGAAUAAGCUCCGGCUAACUCCGUGCCAGCAGCCGCGGUAAUACGGAGGGAGCUAGCGUUGUUCGGAAUUACUGGGCGUAAAGCGCACGUAGGCGGCUAUUCAAGUCAGAGGUGAAAGCCCGGGGCUCAACC